GAGCUUGCUCUUCUUGGAUGAGUUGCGAACGGGUGAGUAACGCGUAGGUAACCUGCCUUGUAGCGGGGGAUAACUAUUGGAAACGAUAGCUAAUACCGCAUAACAAUGGAUGACACAUGUCAUUUAUUUGAAAGGGGCAAUUGUUCCACUACAAGAUGGACCUGCGUUGUAUUAGCUAGUAGGUGAGGUAAUGGCUCACCUAGGCGACGAUACAUAGCCGACCUGAGAGGGUGAUCGGCCACACUGGGACUGAGACACGGCCCAGACUCCUACGGGAGGCAGCAGUAGGGAAUCUUCGGCAAUGGGGGCAACCCUGACCGAGCAACGCCGCGUGAGUGAAGAAGGUUUUCGGAUCGUAAAGCUCUGUUGUAAGUCAAGAACGGGUGUGAGAGUGGAAAGUUCACACUGUGACGGUAGCUUACCAGAAAGGGACGGCUAACUACGUGCCAGCAGCCGCGGUAAUACGUAGGUCCCGAGCGUUGUCCGGAUUUAUUGGGCGUAAAGCGAGCGCAGGCGGUUUGAUAAGUCUGAAGUUAAAGGCUGUGGCUCAACCAUAGUUCGCUUUGGAAACUGUCAAACUUGAGUGCAGAAGGGGAGAGUGGAAUUCCAUGUGUAGCGGUGAAAUGCGUAGAUAUAUGGAGGAACACCGGUGGCGAAAGCGGCUCUCUGGUCUGUAACUGACGCUGAGGCUCGAAAGCGUGGGGAGCGAACAGGAUUAGAUACCCUGGUAGUCCACGCCGUAAACGAUGAGUGCUAGGUGUUGGAUCCUUUCCGGGAUUCAGUGCCGCAGCUAACGCAUUAAGCACUCCGCCUGGGGAGUACGACCGCAAGGUUGAAACUCAAAGGAAUUGACGGGGGCCCGCACAAGCGGUGGAGCAUGUGGUUUAAUUCGAAGCAACGCGAAGAACCUUACCAGGUCUUGACAUCCCGAUGCUAUUUCUAGAGAUAGAAAGUUACUUCGGUACAUCGGUGACAGGUGGUGCAUGGUUGUCGUCAGCUCGUGUCGUGAGAUGUUGGGUUAAGUCCCGCAACGAGCGCAACCCCUAUUGUUAGUUGCCAUCAUUCAGUUGGGCACUCUAGCGAGACUGCCGGUAAUAAACCGGAGGAAGGUGGGGAUGACGUCAAAUCAUCAUGCCCCUUAUGACCUGGGCUACACACGUGCUACAAUGGUUGGUACAACGAGUUGCGAGUCGGUGACGGCGAGCUAAUCUCUUAAAGCCAAUCUCAGUUCGGAUUGUAGGCUGCAACUCGCCUACAUGAAGUCGGAAUCGCUAGUAAUCGCGGAUCAGCACGCCGCGGUGAAUACGUUCCCGGGCCUUGUACACACCGCCCGUCACACCACGAGAGUUUGUAACACCCGAAGUCGGUGA
rnacentral:rRNA from 1 species